rnacentral:rRNA from 1 species
AUUGAACGCUGGCGGCAGGCUUCACACAUGCAAGUCGAGCGAGCGGCGGAAGGGGGAGCAAUGUCUGGGAAACUGCCUGCAGGGGGGGGAUAACGACUGGAAACGGUAGCUAAUACCGCCCACCAUCAGAUGUGUCCAGAUGGGAUUGGCUAGUAGGUGGGGUAUAGGCUAACCUAGGUGACGAUCCCUAACUGGUCGGUGAGGAGGACCAGCCACACUGGAACUGAGACACGGUCCAGACUCCUACGGGAGGCAGCAGUGGGGAAUAUUGCACAAUGGGCGCAAGCCUGAUGCAGCCAGGCCGCGUGUGUGAAGAAGGCCUUCGGAUUGUAAAGCACUUUCAGCGAGGAGGCGUUACUCGCAGAAGAAGCACCGGCUAACUCCGUGCCAGCAGCCGCGGUAAUUC